UACGAAGGGGGCUAGCGUUGCUCGGAAUCACUGGGCGUAAAGCGCACGUAGGUGGAUCGCUAAGUCAGGGGUGAAAUCCUGGAGCUCAACUCCAGAACUGCCUUUGAUACUGGCAAUCUCGAGUCCGGGAGAGGUGAGUGGAACUGCGAGUGUAGAGGUGAAAUUCGUAGAUAUUCGCAAGAACACCAGUGGCGAAGGCGGCUCACUGGCCCGGUACUGACGCUGAGGUGCGAAAAGCGUGGGGAGCAAACAGG
rnacentral:rRNA from 1 species